CUUAUUUAAAUAUGAUAAUAGAAUUACACUUCUGAUGAACUCUAUUUUUAGCGAAUUUUCAGCUUAGUUUAACAUAACUCCGAAUGAAAGGAAAAAGGCGUCAAUGGUAUGCAGACAGCGCAGACAGAGCGGAUACUUCAUGGCAAAUUACCAAUGCAAAUUUCGCUGUCACACAAUAAAAUAAAAUAUAUAAAACAAAUCACAACGAACAAAACAAAACACACACAUUUUUACAGCAGCAUGUGCGUAUACGUAAUGUGAGAUGUGAGUAGUGCAGAUUCGAAUUACCUACAAAACACCCAUUGCUAAAUGCUUAUGGGCAAUAUUAUGGCAAACAUUUGCUGCUGCGUAUACUUGAUAUUAAUGAUAACUAGUUCACGUUGCAUAUGAUUAACAUACAUCGACAAAUUGUUUACUUGUUUGUCUACAGGGUAUCUGCAAGUGGCAGCAGCAUUUGUUAUUGUUUUUUUGGGUGGAAUUGUGAAUUGAAAGCUGAGCGCCAAGUUUAUUCCAGUUGAAGUUCAAGGUAAAAGCGUCAGUCGAAAACAGCAACAAAAAAACAGAAAUAACAGACACGCAAAAGAAUUAUCGUAUAUACGAAAUUAACACACAAACAAAAAAAGCACGCAGCCUUGACAAUAACACCCAACCGCCAAGACAAAAUACAAAUAAAAAUAAAUAAAAAAGCGUGCGUUGGCAAUGCACACGACUAAGCGAUGCUCUGUAAAGUGGAAAGAGAAAUGCACAAGAGGAAAGAAAUAUAUAUGAAUGUGAAUUGCUGAUAAAAUUGUGGAAGAAAAAUUGAAGCAACUUUUAGUUAAAGAAAAAUAUUUCAGUGUCAA